CUGCACACAAUCACGUGGCCCUCCAUUUUUAGCAGCUUAAUUUAGCAUCUCAGGGCUGAUGUGUUCUCUCCCUGGCAGGCACGGCUGGAGCUGUUGUCCGGACCCCAACUGCUUUAGACCCUGAUCUGGAUGCUGCAAGGACAUAAGCUAGAGGACUUAACUCUCAGGAUCAAGCCUGGAAUCAUGGUUAGAAGUCUUUGGUCUAUCUAUUCUGAUUUCUGAUGCAAAGCAGGACAAAGGACACCAAUGUCACAUGUGGAUAAAAGAUGUUUAAAGACAUCUUCAGUGUCUGGCUGAGAACUUGCACAUGAUUGCAGCAUUGCUCACUCCAACUCCCCAGGCAGCCUCAGGCUUCGUGUGGGGGCUUGUUCAUCCCUACAGCACCCCAUGCACCCCAUACAUGAGUGUGCUCCAGGUCAUCUGUGUCUGGAACUGCACCUGUGCUCAGCUGGAGAUCCUGUUAAGGAUCCUCCUUAUUGCUAACUGUCUGCAAAGUGCUUCAUCAUUCCCUUCUGACCACAUUCUGCAUUUUCCAUAUACAGAGCACACUUAUCUGAUGCAGUCUACUCUCGAAGCUGAAAGUGCUGCCUCUUCCCAUCUGUUGUGACAUUUGUCCAGUUUGAUCAUGAUGGCUUUACCAUCACUCCUAGCAUUAAUCACCAUGUGCAACAGCUUGCCAGAUGUUUUCAGGAGCCUGUCCAUGCAUCAUCCGGGUGCAUUUCCAAUGAGACAGCACUCACACGUGUUCUGCAUUAAUUCUGACCUCUCCUCUUGAUAGGAGGUUUCUUCCUUGUAGCCAGACCUUGAUCUUGACCAACUUGAUAAUCAUGUGUUAGUUCUGGGAUACUCUGUGUCACAGGUACCUGAGACACAACAACUAUAAAUGUAUAAAGUAUGGCCAAAGGUAAAAGGCUCAGCAAAGUCAAGCUCCCAGCUCAAACCAAGAAACAAGAACAACUUCCUAUGCAGCUUUGUCCUGUCCCAACUCUCAUCUAAGAAACAUGAUAAAUAAAAUAAUAAAGCAGGUUA